AAACACAUUUUUCAAACCGUCAAAUCACCAAACAUGAACCUAAAACACUACAUCCUGUUGGCAGCAGUUAGAAACUAUGAUACGUCAGAGGCUGUUUACCUCCGCCACCAACGUGGCGUCGCUGACGCAAAUGUUUUCUUCCUUGGACCAAGAAACACCUAGAAGAAAAGUCACAAGAAUUCACCAAACUCAACUGAAAACCCAGCGGAGGAAAUGAAAUCAGCUAGAGAAAGACUCACUGCGCACUUUGACAGAACCGAAACCAGGGAGAGGCACCGAAUGAGUGGAGGUUCACAUUUACAUCAGUUAUUCUGAUGUUGAUUCAUUUCUGGCUGUGCUGCUGCUCAGUGUAUCUUCAGUGAAAAAAAAAGCAACUUGGAAACAGUGAUCACCUUUUCAGAAAGCACCUGAGAGAAGAAAUUUAUUUUUCUGACCACAGUCAAGAGAAAUUUGUGGUGGCCUGUUUCUGUAAGGAAGGCAGACCAGCAUUCAGGAGUCACUACCUUUGCCCAAUGUGCAACUCUCUUGUAAUCACACGGUCCUCGAACUUCAUCCAAUAAUAUCGGCAUCCUCGUGGCAGCCUUAUGGCCUGGGACGUCCAGUGUGUUUUUAAGUAUUUAUUUUUAAUUUUCUGUGAGUGACAAUUUAGAAUAGCUCUAUAAUAAACCGGCUA